rnacentral:misc_RNA from 1 species
GGUAGAAACAUCACAUAACACCUUUUAGUACCUCUGGUCCAAGCCUGGUGGCAAUUCAUCCUUGGCUUUUUAUUUCAAUGUUAUGGAAAAGAGGGGUCAUGCGCCUAGUAGAUUCGAUUCUUCCUUUCUGUACAUAAAAAAAGGACUAGGACUAGAGUUGAAAAAGAAGAAUUCAGUGAGCAUAUGGCUAGCUGUUUAGUCUAAACUGUAAAGUUAUAGGUAUGAAAAGUUGUAGGU